rnacentral:rRNA from 1 species
UACAGAGGUGGCAAGCGUUGUUCGGAAUUACUGGGCGUAAAGGGCGCGUAGGCGGUCUUCUAAGUCUUGUGUGAAAUCCCUCGGCUCAACUGAGGAACUGCACGGGAUACUGGAUGACUUGAGUUCGGGAGAGGGAAGCGGAAUUCCGGGUGUGGCGGUGAAAUGCGUAGAUAUCCGGAGGAACACCGGUGGCGAAGGCGGCUUCCUGGACCGAUUACUGACGCUGAGGCGCGAAAGCUAGGGGAGCAAACGGG